rfam:Schistosoma margrebowiei strain Zambia genome assembly, scaffold: SMRZ_contig0000372
AUCAAGCUGACGAGUCUCAAACAGAGCGAAACGCUCGUCAUAGAU